UACGAAGGGGGCUAGCGUUGUUCGGAAUUACUGGGCGUAAAGCGCACGUAGGCGGAUCUUUAGGUCAGAGGUGAAAUCCCAAGGCUCAACCUUGGAACUGCCUUUGAUACUGGGGAUCUCGAGUCCGGGAGAGGUGAGUGGAACUGCGAGUGUAGAGGCGAAAUUCGUAGAUAUUCGCAAGAACACCAGUGGCGAAGGCGGCUCACUGGCCCGGUACUGACGCUGAGGUGCGAAAGCGUGGGGAGCAAACAGG
rnacentral:rRNA from 1 species